rnacentral:lncRNA from 1 species
UGAUGAGUUAAGUGACAAUGAAUUUGAACCACAUGGAGCUCGGGCUUAAGGGGAAAGUGUUUUGGUGAAACGCAGCUGGAAUUUCGUCAGCCCCCACCCCCCAGACGGUACAAAAAUAGUCCGGGCCAGGCAGGCUCUGACCCACAGGCCUGGCCCAAUUUCGCCGCCCCCUGUCCCGGAGAGACGCUUGGAGUGGCCUCUUUCCCUGAAUCUGGGUUUCGUAAUCUUUCUUUGUUGUUUUGGUCGCCUGUUUGUUGACUGGCCUGGUUCGUCUGGGAGAAUUUGCUCCCUGACGAGCUCCCUGCUGCUUGGCUUCGAAGAGAGAGCAAGGCAGGAAGACCCUCUCUCGCUGUUGGUAACAAGGCCCAGGGGCUGGAGGCUGGAAAGAUGGUCACAGGCACGGCCCCGGGGCUGGUCGGGAAGCCCUGUGACCUUGGGAAUGUGAGUGGGCAGCGGGGGGCUCCGGACGCGAGGGCGAGAAGUGGGGUUCACCUAAGCAAGAGCCAGAAGGUUCUAUGAACAUCUCAAAUCCAGCCUUGUUCCUCAGAAGGGGAAACUGAGGCCAGAGGCGGGGGGUAGGUGAUUCCAGGCAUCAGAACCUACCAACAGCACAGCCAGGACUCACCCCAAGCAAGGACUUCUGCUUCCCAGCCCAGGGUCUGGCGCCAGGAGGCAUCCAGGGUGUUCGUGGACUGGGAGAAUGCUCAGAGCCUGUCGCGUCCGGUCUUCAGCUGGGAAGGAGACAGAGGGGGAGCUGUGCACCCCAGGCAGACCUAGAAGGUGGUCAGGCAUCUACCACUCUCAGCAUCUAUCAUCACCUUCCCCCAGAUGUGAAUGGUGGGAGCCACUCCUGAGGGCCCCUCCCGAGGUUGGGAAGGGGAGGGGAAGCUACUGAUGUCCUUGCAGACCCACCACCAGGGCCCUUGGGACAGCAGCCCCUGGAGGGAAUGAGAGGCGCCUGCAGGGAGGCCGGGACUGUUGGGAUGGGGACAGAGCCCUCAGUGGCAGCAUCUCUAAGACCAGCUGACGGAGCCGCUGCCCCGACAGCAGGCUGGAGCCCCCCAGAGAGAGCCAAGUCCCCGAGGACCACAGGACAAGACCAGCAUCCAUCCUUCCUACUUUGGUCUCCCCACAUUGGCCAUGGAACCUCAAAUGUACGCAGGAGGCAUGGCCACUGUACCCCCUUCCCCUCUACCACUGUCCCCUGCCCCAUGGAGCCUGGGACCCUGUCUAGAAAGCCCUGCUGGCCUGGCCUGGGCUGCCCCCCCUCACUUCUGAGAGGGGUUCUGCUCCUCCCACUCCUAUUGUCCUCCCCCUUGGCCCUCAGCCAGCCCCCAAGCCCAGGCUGAGCCCACUCCAAGCCAGCCAGUGAGGGAAUGGGGUCGUCAGGCAGGGGCUCUGGGAAGCCUGGGUCUGCCCUAGGAGUUUGAGAAACAGAGGUUUCUCCCCAGCCCUCUUGGCAGCGGUGGGAAUUAGGGGCUCAGUGAGAGGGGUCAGAAGAGGCCUGGAUUUGAAUCUCUUGUCGGGGGUGUGGACAAGUGAUUUACCCGCUCUGAGCCUCGGUUUCUUCAUCUGUAAAAUGGGUAUAUCCAUGGCAUCUUCCUGCCACGCUGUGGGGCUUGAGAUAUUACAUCAUGUAAAAAUGUGCUCGGCACAGAGGAGGAGCCCAGUGAGGUUGGCUGCCAUGUGCAUGCCGAAGAGGGGAGGCGCUCUGGUUGGUGGGAGAGGUUGUUAGAAGUGGCCGUGGGACAAGGAGGGUCAGUCAGAGUAGUCCAGAGACGAGGCCCCAGAAUGCCCUCUCCUCCCUCUGCUUAAUUCCCCAGGCAGCUCAGGCCGUAGCAGAAGCAGGUGGAGGGAGGCCCCCCCUCUAGACUUAUGCAUAUCCACUGAGGCCCCCAGCCACAACCCUAGAAGCUCUCAGUGACCCUCCACACAGCCUGAUCUGCAGACAGUGCCCCCAGCUCAGGACCAGGUGUGACCCCAGAAAGACGAUGCACAGCAGGUGGGCACAAAGCUGACCAUCACAACCCCCUCCCCGCCGCCCCAGACGCCUGCCUUCUAGAAGAGCCAGGGGAACCAGCCCCCUCCCUGGCCAACAGGACUCAGAUUCACGCAAAGCCUCUCUCUGUUUGACUUUGGAGGCCUUGACAAGGCACGGACUGCUCUUCACACCUGGACACCUCAGGCAAAAGCCUGGGAGGGCGGGACAGGACAAGGUGGUCCCUAUGACCAAGCCACUGUCCUCCUGGGCUGGGGACAGCAGCAUCGCUUCUCAGGGCCCAAAAGCCACCCCUGUCUCUGCCUCCCUCUGUCCCUUCUCCAUCUCUGUCUCCAGUGUCCCCCCCCCCCCGCCCACGUGCAGAGAGGCAGUGGUAAAGGAUAUAGACUUUGAACCCAACUCAGCCCCUCCCCCACCCGCCGAUGGCUAAGUGGACCCUAAGCCUCAGGGUCCCCAUCCGUAAAAUGGGUCCGUGGUAACAACAGUACCAGUCACAAGGGAGCCUGCAAUGAGUUAAUACAAGGAAAGCCCUCAGAACGGUAUCUGGCCCAUUGUGAAGACUCAAUAAAUUCUAGCCCUUGUGAUUUUUUAUUUGUGUCUCCGUCCUGCAUGUUUGUUGAGUCAGAUUUUCCAUGGCUGAGGAGGUACAGCAGGAGGCACGAAGCUUGGUGGUUUCCAUUGCCCAUGGCUCCAGGUCCUUCGGGCUGGAGGCUAGAGCAAUAAAGGAUUCCUUUCAACUGGGGCCAGUGAUGCUCUGAUAAGGUGUGACCACAGGAUGCUAACCCGAGCCCCAGGCCUCGGAGGCGGGGCGCAGCAGAGCCCGGGCCAUUCUGGGCGGGAAGGCCCCAAGGCCCUGAGUCCCGGCCACAGGCUGGCGACACUCCUCUGCAUGGUCAGUGCCCUCCCCCCGCCCACCUCCCCGAUCACCCUCUAUGCCCAAGAUCUGGCCUCCACCCCAGGGUUGUUUGUACCUCCUGGCCCAGGAGGCUCAAAGUCUGAGAAAGCAGUGUCUCAGAAGCCUGGAACCUGGGAAUUACAGGGCCGAAGCCUAGCGUGAGGAGCUCACUACCGCAGUGACCGUGACAAG